rnacentral:lncRNA from 1 species
CACGGAACAAAGAAUUCCUGAUCAUCACUAGAAUCAGCAUCAAUUCGCCAUUGAUCCUCUUCAUCAGUUUCACUAACAUACUCCUCAUCACUUCGAAUUACGUCCUCAUUAUCAGUUGUAGUCACGUCCCGAUUGGUCUAUUCAUGAUGAGUAGAUGAUGGACCUUCAUUUUGAUAAGGAGGGAUAGUAUUUUCUUACUUCCCAAGCCGGCCAUUCAUGAACACUAGAUGAUGGACCUUCAUUUUAAUAAGAAAGGAU